CAUGCAUGCAUUCAUUCAUUCAUUCAUUCAUUCACAGCAUCAGGCGGCUUAACAGCUCGUGCAGAUUUCAUUUUUACCCCCAAAUACUUUUUUCUUAUAUCUCUUUCAUUUUAUUCAGUUUCGUUCCAGACUGUGUAGUUUCAGCAGGAGGGAAGAGUAAUAAUAGGUGAUGUGCAUGGAAGGGAUCAUUAUGUUGUGUGUGUGUGUUAGCAUCUUUCUGAUACUCUUUUGGUUAUAUGGGGGAUAAGAUGAACUCCAAAUAGCUGUUAUCACACACGGUUUUGAUUGAUGACUGAAAAUAAUCUGCGGGAAAAUCGCAGUCAUAUGCUGCUCACACAAGAGAGAGUUGUACACUGGAGGGAAGGGGGAGGGAUACCUAAUGGGGGCGGGGGAAUGUUAGGGAACCCGAUCCUUGGUAUGCUCGUGGCAAGAAACUGGAGAGGGCAGCACCGUCAACGCUCAGCUCGAAACAUGUAAACAAAAACCAGAGCCCACCACACCGCUGCCAACGCCUGUGUGUACACUGUGCUGUACAUGCCGCUCUGUGAUGCACAAGAGAGAGCUGUGUCCUGGAGGGAAGGAGAAGGGGAUACCCAAUGGGGGGAAUCCGAUCCCUGGUAUGUUCGUGGCAGAAACUGGAGAGGGCAGAACCGUCGACGCUCAGCUCGAAUCAUGUAAACAAAAUCCCAGCCCAUCACAACGCUGCCCACGCCUGUGUUCCUACAUACAUGCCGCUCUGUGAUGCCUCUCGCCUCUGUUGCUGUGUGGGACAAGAAAAGCCGCACACUCCCAUGGGCUCAGCUGUACUUAUUCCUCUGGGCUGCCAGACGGUUUUUUUUUUUUUUUUUUUUUUUUUUUUUGUGGGGGGGGAUAUUUUGGUCAUUAGCAGAAAAUACAAAAAUACAGUGUCUUUAAACAAGCGAUUACUGAGCUGACGCUGCCAGCCACAACUAUUGCUUGAUGAAUGAAAUACCAUGGCGUGUGUAAUAAUUGCAUAUAACAGGAACGUCUUACAUGGCAAGAUAUCUAGCAUGUUCAAAUCAUUUCAAGUUAAAUGUGGUGUGCAAUACGAGUACAGAGCACCAGGUGAUUGCAGUGGCUCCAAGUCUUGGGAAAGCCAUGUGUGGAGCACAAGCAGUCUGUCCACAUGGAAAAUUUUGAGCUCAAGCAUACCAGCAGCACAACACAUCUGAACAAUGCAGCUCCAAUUCCUGCAGAUAAACGAACUUCAGACACAUACCACACAGCAUUUCUGUGACUACACAACUGUGUCAUAACCAAUUAUAUUGUGGUAAAGUGGCUUACAGCAGGAAAGGAGACACAACUGGCUCAUCUGAGUCAAGCAUAUUAACUGUGAUGAGCAAUGUGAACAAGUAUUAUAAGAUGUUUUUGGCAAGGAAAAGAUGUGGUGGGAAUAAUGACUGCAUAUAAGGUUUAUAAUUCCUGUUAAUCACUUACUUGAAGAGGACAGAUCUUGUGGGUAUGGGAAAAGUUUAAGAUGGCAGAGGGACACCAUCCACAACACACAAGACAGUCCAGCAAUCUGGAAGGAAGACCAGCACAAUACCACAGCAAUUGAUGCAAAGAGCAGCAGAUUUUCUGCCUCCCAGGAUGCUGUAAUUUUUCAAUGGACAUCAGUGAUAUGCUUUGAUUAGUGUGACAGUGGAGGAGGAAGUGGAGGAGGCAACUUGCUGUAGCAGUAUGUUAUUACAGUCCUAAAAGGAUUACAGUAAUCACUACAUUUCUCAUUGAAAAAACAUUUUGUUAGUAGGAGCAACAAAUUCUGGCAGUCCUGUAAAGCAAGUUACUUCAAGGCAAAAUAUCUCAUGUAAUGAGUAUCAUCAAAGAUUUGUUUAAUUUUGACCAGGUUUUUUAUUCCAUUAUUGGAGGCAAGGAUAUUGGUGGACAUGACAAGAGUUUGAAACUUGGAAACCAUGCAUUUUUUUUCUUUUUUUUUUUUUUCUUUUUGUGAUUAGAGAACUAAUGAGAAAUGGAAAUGUUUUUUUUAGGAUAUUCCUUUUAUCUGGGAAAGAUUGAUAUUAUGUAGUGUGAUGACAUGUUCAUUAGGUUUAAGACAUACUAGAGUAACUGCACUUUUUUUUUUCUUUCUCUGACCAAGAGAGAAUACAAUGUUCUUUUAGAAUCUUGGCAUGUUUGCCAUCAAUGGUGAUGAGACUGUAACACUGUUUUAAAGGAGAAAAGUAAAGUGCAUACAGGGUAAUAUAAUUAAAUGCUGAAUUUUGAAUGAUCAUCAGCUAAAAUAUGAGACUUGCUCCUAACUGGUAAAUUCAACAUGUGUAGGAUUUUCAAGUAAUGAACAGAAUAGACACAUUCCAUGGUAGGCUUACUGGGACAAAAAGCUGUCCUUAUUGCAGUACAGGCAUGUAUAUCAGGUGCAUAGAUCCUUUUCAUUAUUGAAAUAGUUUAGUUACUCUUCAUUUUAAUGAUGUUUAUUGCUAAAUAUUGUAAAAUUUGCAAGGAAUGCAAGAGCAUCAUGGAAACUGCCAUUCACAUACUCUAACAAGACAGCACUUCAGGUGCUGUGGCAUGACUGGUCUUUGUUCAGUUCCUUUACCUUAGUUAUUAAUUGGAUGAACGAUGAACCAUACUUCCUAGCCAAGACUAAGACUUGGAUUACUUCAGAUUGACUUCAGUUACUAACUCUAAAUGUGAAGAUAUAGUGAUGGCAUCAGACUACUUCUAGUUCAUAAUCUUUUCCAUGUAACUGACUGUGCUUGAAGAAGAUUUUUGAGCCUCGUGAAUGUCACAUGACAAGGAUAUUUUGUCAGAUACCAGCCAUCAGUUAGACAGCAGCAGUGAGGCAGAUUAGAUUUGUGAUUUAGGUGGCCUUUUCAUUCCCCAAUGAGGAAAAGUGUAUUUUCUUUACCUGUCAUAAGUUUGUGUUGCUUCUGCAUGUGUUUCAGCAACUACCCAAAAGCUUUACUUUAAUCAGACUUGGAGUAUUUUAUGUCCCUAAAUAGGAAAUAGGAAGAAGAACUAAAUAUGAAAAGUUGAAUAGUAAAUUUGCAUACAGUACACAGAUGUGUGCACAAAAUUUCUUUCUAAGGGUUUUUGUUUUUCUUUUCACUGUAUUCUUGCUAUUCUGCUCUUGUCCUACUGUCUCAUUGCAUGUCCCAUGUCCAAGCUCAGGAUGCUGUAUUUUAUCCUUCAUAAUCGGAUGCCAUUGCCUUGCAGGCAGAUUUAGAUAGAAUGAAUGAAUGGACGGAUAGAUGGCAAAUGCAAUUUAAUAUCAAUAAAUGCAAAGCACUUAGCGAAGGUAGAGGAAACCCACACAACAGGUACACAUUAAACAACCAAACUCUGGUAGGUACAGGGUACGAGAAAGAUUUAGGAGUUAUAGUUAGCUCUGAACUCUGUCUAGGCAAACAAUGCAUAGAAGCCAGAAACAGGGCAAAUAGGGUACUAGGAUUCAUUUUUUGGAGUGUUAAAAGUAGAAGGCCGGAAGUAAUGUUAAAGUUAUACUUGGCACUGGUCAGACCUCAUCUAGACUACGCUGUGCAGUUCUGGUCCCCACAUUACAGGAAAGAUAUAGGUCUAUUAGAAUCAGUACAGAGGAGGAUGACUAAAAGGAUACAGGGGAUGAGGAGUAUUCCUUACUAAGCGAGGUUGAAGCUGUUAAAUUUACAUUCUUUAGAGAGAUGUAGGUUAAGAGGGGACCUGAUAGAAGUCUUUAAGUGCUAUAAGGGUUAUAACAAGGGGGAUGUAAGCAAAAUUCUUAGGAUCAGCAACCAGGGUAGAACAAGAAAUAACAGGUUCAAGCUUGAAAAAUUUAGGUUUAGGAAGGAGAUAGGAAAAAAUUGGUUCUCAAAUAGAGUGAUAGAUGAGUGGAACAGACUCAGUAAUCAUGUUGUUAGUGCUAGGACACUAGAGAGCUUUAAGAGAAGAUUAGACAAGUUUAUGGAUGGAGAUAAUAGAUGGAAAUAGGUAGGUAUAUUUCAUACAGGGACUGCCACAUGUAAGCCUGGUCGUUUCUUGCAGCUUCCCUUAUUUCUUAUGUUCUUAUAUAAUGUUUUCUUCAUUUUAUCAUGAUGCAUUAUUCAUAUAUAUAAGAUAUCUCUCAUAAUGUAUUUUCUCACAAUAUAUAUAAUUUUAGAUAUAUCUUACAGUAACAUUUGAUAUCAGUCCUCUUAUUUUUCUCAUGUAAUGCAGCAUUUCAUCAGGUUUGUGCUGUCUGUUACAGCAUAUGCAGGAAUUAUUUAAAUUCUGCAUGUUUACUUUGUGGUGACAUAAAUGCUUCUCUUCUCUGAAAUUUUCUUUGGUUAGCUACAUGUUAUUAACACUAUAUCUUUAGCUGCCAUAUGCCCACUGUAUAUCUUUACUUCAAUGUUGUUGUUGUUGUUGUUGUUGUUGUAUGCAGUAUUGAGUUGCCAUGUCAUUUGUUCUAAUUUGGAAGUCUUUGCAUUCUCUGUUAGGUGGUGUAGCCUUGCUAUGCUGACUCAGUUACCUCCUGAUGUACAUUCAAAACAGAGUUGAUAUGGGUAUAUGUUAAGGAAGGAUCACAGUCAGUAGUACUGGGAGUAAUGUACAGGCCACCAAACAGUACAAAGGAAAUUAACACCUCACUGUGGCAGGUAAUAAAUAGAGCAGGAAGGCACAGUCAGGUAUGUGUGAUAGGAGAUUUUAGUUUUAGGAAUAUCAACUGGAGCCUGAUGGUGGGUGACAAGGAAGCAGAGGAAUUUCUUAAGCUAAUUCAGGAUAAUUUUUUUAAACAAGUAGUCGUAGAACCCACAAGGGGGAACAAUAUUCUAGAUCUAAUUCUUACUAACAGGGAGGAAGCAGUCAUUCAGAUAGAGGUCAGAGGACAGCUAGGCAACAGUGACCAUUGGGAAAUUAGGUACAAAUUAAAAUGGGAAGAAACUUUUAAAAGUAAAAACACUAGUAAAAUACCUGACUUUAGGAGAGCAGAUUUUGAGGAAUUAAAAUGAUACCUCCAAGGAGUUGACCAGUAAUGGUUACAGGGUGAGGUCAGGUCUGGGAUGGAGUUGAGAGAGAUAAGAUAAGGCAGGAUAAGAGAGGUGAGGUGAGGUGUGAGGGUGAAGGACAAGAGGAGGGAAGAUGUGUCCGGAAGGGGUGGAGCAGAGAAAGGGGGAGAUAGGUGUAUGUUGAAGGGUCAGGUCAUGCUGAAAUUGGAGAGGUGAGGACAAGGUAAGUAGAUGAGGGAGUGGAGAGGAUGGAAGGGGCCGCGAUGAGAGGAUAAGGUGAAGUAAAUGUAGAUGAGUUGUAUGAAUAUUUCAUAGACAAACUGCAUACAGGACAGCUAGCAAACAUCCCAUAUAGAGCAAUAAGAUCACAGAAAAAUGACCCUAAAUUGAUGACUGCUAGAUUAAAACAUUAUAUAGGACAGAAGAGAAGUAUAUAUAAGAGAUUAAGGGCAGGUGAAGAGGUUUUAAGGCCACAAUAUAAUGAAUUAGAUAGAACGGUCAGGAGGUUAUCGAGGAAAGCUAAGAGCAAUUAUGAAUUAAAGGUGGCCAGCCAGGCAAAGAUGGACCCCAAGGGAUUUUAUCAGGUAUACAGGAUGAAGAAUAAGAAUACUAUAGGUCCAUUAAAGGCAGCAGAUAGGGGCAGGGGAAGACUAAAAGUAGCAUAUAUGAACAUAAAUUAACUAAUGUCAGCAGUGUUGGAACUGGAAGACUAUUUAAAAGAGGAAAAACCGGACAUCAUGGGAAUUGUUGAAACUAAAUUGGCAAGUGAAGGGGAUAUACUAAAUAUUGGUGAAGGAAAAUACAACCUCUGGAUGAGAAAUAGAAAGAAUAAACAGCAAGGAGGUGUGAUGCUUCUAGUUAGGAAGAAUUUAUUAGUGGAAUCUGUCACAUAUGGAGUGGAGGAGGCAGAAGUAUUGAAAACAGGCUUAAGACAGAAUAUUGGAAGAUACCAUAAUGUUGCGGUGACUUAUGUUCCCCCCUAUUCCAACUCUUGGAGAAAGGAUGAAUGCUUGACGACACAAGGACAUGUUUGACAGAGCUGCUUGAGGAAAAUGAUGAUAUAAUCCUGAUGGGGGACUUUAACUGUAAAGAGAUAUCUUGGGAGAAUUGGACCACAGAAGGCAGUGAGUCAUCAUGGGGGAACAAGCUAUUAGACCUGGCUAUUGAAAAUGUCCUGACACAGUGGGUUACAGAUGACACAAGAUUUAGGGGAAAUGAAGCACCUUCAAGGCUCGAUCUAAUUUUCACCAAGGAACAAGAAAUAGUAGAAGACCUUUAAUACAUAAACCCAAUAGGAAAAAGUGAUCAUGUGCUGAUUCAGUUCACAGUUAUGGAUAAUAACCGCAGUAUAAGGAAAGAGGACCACAGGAGAGAAUGGCUAAACUACAGCAAGACUAAUUUUGGACAACUUAGGAAGUGUUUCAGUCAAGUGAAUUGGAACAUAGUUAUUCAAAAGGAGGACAUAGAGGAAAAGUGGACAGCUUUCCUGGACAUUUAUAAUAAGGGAGUAGAGAAAUGGGUACCCAAAAGAUCAACAGAGAACCUUUUCAAAAAGGAUUGGUACAACAGGAGAUGUGCAACAGCUAGAUUGGAGAGAAAAAGUAUGGAACAAGUGGAAGAAAAACAAGAGACUGGACCUGUGGAACAAUUAUAUAAGGAAGAGGAACGAAUGUCAAAACUCGCAGAGAUGAUCAGAAAAAUUUUGAAAAGAAUGUUGUGGAGAAAUGUAAAGACCAACCAAAAUUAUUUUAUAAAUUCAUCAAUGGAAAAUUAAAGAGUUAAGAUGAAAUAAGCAUGAGAAGAGACAGUGGAUGACCCAGAAGAUGUAGAUGAAGUUUUUAACAGAUACUUCCACUCUGUGUUUACUAAGGAAAAUUAUUUCAGAGGUGAGAGGACAGCAUUAGAAAAAGGGACCAAUCUAAAGGAGAUUUGUAGAUCAGUAGAGGAUCAUUUGGAGAUCAGUAGAAGAAGUAAAGAUUAUGUUGGAAGACCUGGAUGUAAGGAAAGCAAUGGGUCCUGAUGGUCUAUCAAGUUGGAUUUUAAAAGAGUGUAGCUCACAAUUAGCCUCAGUGCUGCACAAUAUAAUUAGCACCACCCUGGUAAAAGGUAGAGUACCCAUAGUUUGGAAAUGGGCGGAUAUUACCCCAAUCCACAAGACUGGAAGUAAAGAAGAUCCAUUAAAUUAUAGACCUGUAUCACUCACAAGUGUGGUGGCAAAGAUUUGUGAAAAGAUUAUCAAGAACAGAUGGGUGGAAUACCUAGAAGACAACAAGGUGGUAACAGAGAAACAAUUUGGCUUCAGAAAAGGAAGAUCUUGUGUUACAAAUUUGGUAAGUUUCUACUCAAGAUUAAUAGAUAUAGUGCAAGAGAGAGAUGGAUGGUUCGACUGCAUAUACUUAGAUUUGAGAAAAGCAUUUGAUAAAGUUCCGCACAGAAGACUAAUAUGGAAAUUGGAAAAAAUUGGAGGACUUGCUGGAUCACUGUUAAAGUGGAUGACUGACUUUUUGACAAACAGAGAAAUGAGGAUAGUAAUUAAAGGCAGCAGGUUGAACUGGAAAAUGGUAAUAAGUGGAGUCCCACAAGGUUCAGUACUUGCACUUAUUAUGUUCACAGUUUAUGUAAAUGAUAUGACAGAAGGUGUAGAAAGUUACAUGAACCUUUCUGCUGAUGACGCUAAGAUUAUGAGGAAAGUAACAAAUGAAAAGGACUGCAAUGCUUUUAAUCAGGACUUAAUUAAGAUUAAUGAAUGGUCAUUGAGGUGGAACAUGGAGUUUAAUACUAAAAAAUGUAGUGUGAUGAGGUUUGGAAAAAGUGUGAGAAGACCAGUUGGCAACUAUUACUUAGGGAAUGAGGAAAUCUCUAUAAGAUGAGAAGAAAAAGAUCUAGGAGUAAUUAUUACUAAUAAUUUAUCAUUUGGGAAGCACAUAAACAAAAUUAUAGGAGAAACAUAUAAUCUGCUGAGAAACAUCAAGAUAGCAUUCUCCUAUAUUGAUGAAGAUAUGAUAAAAAAAAAAAUUGAUAACAAGGAUGAUACGUAUGAGAUUGGAGUACGCAGCAUCAGUGUGCUCGCCAAGUUUGAAAAAGGAUACAAAAAAGUUUGAAAGAAUCCAGAGAGCUGCAACUAAAAUCCCUGCAAGCUUAAAAGAGUAUAGUUAUGAGGAAAGGUUGAAGAGAUUCGGCCUGACUACACUAGAAAAAAGGAGGGAAAGAGGUGAUUUGAUAGCAAUAUAUAGAAUAUUGGAAGGAGUGGAAAAGUUGGACAGAGAAGACCUCAUGAUACCUGAUACAAGAGACACAAGAGGACAUGGAAGGAAAUUGAAAAGGAGUGUUUGCAGAAGCAAUAGGACAGUAGUUUGAGGGGCUAGAACGGUCACCAUUUUUAGGAACAGGUUGAAUGUAGGCAAACUUCCAGCAAGAAGGAAAGGUAGAUGUUGACAGACAGAGCUGAAAGAGUUUGACUAGGCAAGGUGCAAGCACAGAGGCACAGUUUCAGAGAACAAUAGGAGGGACCCCAUCAGGUCCAUAAGCCUUCCGAGGGUUUAGGCCAGCGAGGGCAUGGAAAACAUCAUUGCGAAGAAUUUUAAUAGCUGGCAUGAAGUAGUCAGAGGGUGGAGGAGAGGGAGGAACAAGCCCAGAAUCGUCCAAGGUAGGGUUUUUAGCAGAGGUUUGAGUGAAGAGUUCAGCUUUAGAAAUAGAUGUGAUAGCAGUGGUGCCAUCUGGUUGAAAUAGAGGAGGGAAAGAAGAAGAAGCAAAGUUAUUGGGAGAUAUUUUUGGCUAAAUGCCAGAAGUCACGAGGGGAGUUAGAUCUUGAAAGGUUUUGACACUUUCUGUUAAUGAAGGAGUUUUUGGCUAGUUGGAGAACAGACUUGGCAUGGUUCUGGGCAGAAAUAUCAAGUGCAUGAGAUUCUGAUGAUGGAAGGCUUAACUACCUUUUGUGGGCCACCUCUCUAUCAUGUAUAGCACAAGAACAAGCUCUGUUAAACCAAGGUUUAGAAGGUUUAGGUCGAGAAAAAGAGUGAGGAAUGUACGCCUCCAUGCCAGACACUAUCAACACUGUUAUGCGCUCAGCACACAAAGACGGGUCUCUGACACGGAAGCAGUAGUCAUUCCAAGGAAAAUCAGCAAAAUACCUCCUCAAACUACCGUCCUAUUGCUUUAAUUUCCUGCCUACCUAAAGUUUUUUAAUCUAUCCUCAACAGGAAGAUUCUUAAACAUCCAUCACUUCACAACCUUCUAUCUGAUUGCCAGUAUGGGUUCCGUCAAGGCUGCUCUACUGGUGAUCUGGCUUUCCUUACUGAGUCUUGGUCAUCCUCUUUUAGCAGGGUUCUGUCCUGUCAUCCACUCUCUUCUUAUUAUUCAUUAAUGAUCUAAACCAAACUUCUUGUCCUAUCUACUCCUACGCUGAUGAUACCACCCUGCACUUUUCCACAUCUUUUCAUAGACGUCCAACCCUUCAGGAGGUAAACAUUUCAUGCAGGGAAGCCACAGAACACUUGACUUCUGAUCUUUCUAAAAUUUCUGACUGGGGCAGAGCAAACUUGGUAUUGUUCAAUGCCUCAAAAACUCGACACAACCUUCCAGACAACUAUCCCCUCUUCUUCAAUGACACUCAACUGUCCCCCUCUUCUACAAUGAACAUCCUCGGUCUGUCCUUUACUUAUAAUCUGAACUGGAAACUUCACAUCUCAUCUCUAGCUAAAACAGCUUUUAUAAGUUAGGCAUUCUGAGACGUCUAUGCCAGUAUUUCUCACCCACCCCCCCCAGCUGCUAACUCUGUACAAGGGCCUUAUCCGUCCAUGUAUGGAGUAUGCUUCACAUGUCUGGGGGGGUUCCACUCAUACUGCUCUUCUAGACAGGGUGGAAUCAAAAGCUUUUCGUCUCAUCAACUCCUCUCCUCUAACUGACUGUCUUCAGCCUCUCUCUCACCACCGCAAUGUUGCAUCUCUAGCUGUCUUCUACUGCUAUUUUCAUGCUAACUGCUCUUCUGAUCUUGCUAACUGCAUGCCUCCCCUCCUCCUGCGGCCUCGCUGCACAAGACUUCUUUCUCUCAACCCUAUUCUGUCCAUCUCUCUAAUGCAAGAGUUAACCAGUAUUCUCAAUCAUUCAUCCCUUUUUCUGGUAAACUCUGGAACUCCCUGCCUGCUUCUGUAUUUCCACUUUCCUAUGACUUGAAUUCCUUCAAGAGGGAGGUUUCAAGACUACUGCUUUGACCCUUUUAUGGGACUGGCAUUUCAGUGGGCAUUUUUUUUUUUUAUUGGAUUUUUUGUCGCCCUUGGCCAGUGUCCUUCCUACAUAAAAAAAAAAAAAACAUCAAGAAACACAGCUUCUCACACAGAAGUAUAACAGUGUGGAAUGAACUCAAGAAUAAGACUGUGUGUGCAAAGACAAUUCAUAAAUUUAAAGAAAAUCUAGAAAUCUAGGUACUACAUUAGCCUGCCUCCACAUUGCUGGUACCUCACUUGACUCAAGUGAUUUCGUAAAGACAGAAACUAACAGCUCACUAAUAACCUAACUAGUAUGGUGAUGGGACAGCACAAGCCUAGUGUGGCUCUUGUCCUGUACUUCACAACUAGGUAAAUACAACUAUGUAGAUGGGGAGCUGGUUAGUUCUGGGAAGAGAUUAGUAAAAUUCUGAAUGAGUAUUUCUUAACUGUCUUCAUCCAGGAAAACAUGCAGGAUAUGCCAAAUAGUGAAAAGAUGUUUAGAGCAGAUGAAAAUGAGAAGCUGACAGAUAUUUCCAUAACUAAGGAGAUUGUGGAACAGGAGAUAGGCUAAAAAAGUUCAAGACACCAAGACCAAAUGAAAUAUAUCCCAGAGUACUUAAGGAAUGUAAAGAGGUUAUUAGUGCGCCGUUAGUUUCUGUCUUUACGAAAUCACUUGAGUCAGGUGAGGUACCAGUAAUGUGGAGGCAGACUAAUGUAGUACCCAUCUUUAAGAAAGGAGAUAAAACUUUAGUGUCUAAUUAUAGACCUGUCAGCUUAACUUCUGUUGUAGGUAAGAUAUUAGAGUCAAUAAUAACAAGGAACAUUAGGGAGCAUAUAGACAAACAUAAUUUGAUAAAUCAGUCACAGCAUGGCUUCACGAAGGGGAAGUCUUGCCUGACAAACUUAUUAAGAUUUUACAGUAAAGUGUAUGGGGCAGUAGAUAAUGGUGAUAGUUAUGACAUCUUAUAUCUGGACUUUAGUAAAAGCUUUUGACAAGGUACCCCAUCAGAGGCUACUGGGAAAUGUUGGGGCACACAGGAUAGAUGGGAAGGUGUUAGGCUGGAUAAGGUCAUGGCUAAGCAACAGGCAACAAAGAGUUAUAAUAAACAGCUCUAAAUCCGAAUGGGGUCAUGUAAUUAGUGGGGUGCCACAGGGAUCAGUAUUAGGGCGAUUGUUGUUUUUAAUAUAUAUCAAUGACUUGGAUAGUGGAAUUAGUGAUGUUAGUAAAUUUGCGGAUGACACAAAAAUAAGUAGAUUAAUUAGGUCAGAAUUAGGUCAAAUUAAUUAGAUCAAAUGCUAUUGCCUUGCAGGCAGAUUUAGAUAGGAUGAAUGAAUGGACAGAUAGAUGGCAAAUGCAGUUUAAUAUCAACAAAUACAAAGUACUUAGUGUAGGUAGAGGAAACCCACACAGUAGCUACACAAUAAACAACGAAACUCUGGUAGGUUCAGGGUACGAAAAAGAUUUAGAAGUUAUAGUUAGCUCUGAACUCCAUCUAGGAAAGCAAUGCAUUGAGGCCAAAAACACGGCAAACAGGGUAUUAGGAUUAAUUUUUAGGAGUGUUAAAAGUAGAAGGCGCGAAAUAAUAUUAAAGUUAUAUGCUGUGCAGUUCUGGUCCCCACAUUACAGGAGAGAUAUAGGUCUAUUAGAAUAAGUACAGAGGAGAAUGACUAAAAGGAUACAGGGGAUGAGGAGUAUUCCUUAUGAGGCAAGAUUGAAGCUGUUAAAUUCACAUUCUUUAGAGAGAUGUAGGUUAAGAGGGGGCCAGAUAGAAGUCUUUAAGUGGUAUAAGGGUUAUAACAAGGGGGAUGUAAGCAAAAUUCUUAGGAUCAGCAACCAGGAUAGAAAAAGAAAUAACAGGUUCAAGCUUGAAAAAUUUAGGUUUAAGAAAGAGAUAGGAAGAAAUUGGUUCUCAAAAAGAGUGGAAGAUGAGUGGAACAGAUUUAGUAAUCAUGUUGUUAGUGCUAGGACAUUAGGGAGCUUUAAGAGAAGAUUAAACAGGUUUAUGGAUAAAUGGGGAUAAUAGGUGGAAAUAGGUAGGUAUAUUUCAUACAGGGACUGGCACGUGUAAGCCUGGUCAAUUCUUGCAGCUUCCCUUAUUUCUUAUGUUCUUACAUUGCAAUGUCUCUUGGUGCUGCUGUAUACUAUAUAUGUAUGCUAUAAGAUAGUGAUGACUUUUGUGUGAUCUCUUAAUGCAACUAACCAUGUGUUCUGUCUUAUAAGGCAUUAGUGUUUGAUAAACACCUUGAUGUUGCCAAAUGUUUGUGCAGGUGUGGGAAAAAAAAGUCUCUUAUGAAUGCUGCUGUCUUUCAUAGUAAGGCCUUGGUUUUAUUUUCUGCCCUGUGUUACAUACCUAGUGUGUGUUGUACUGUUUUUCAUGUUUUAUAAGCAGCACAUACUUGUUAACAUUUCAGAAUACCUGCUGUUAAACAAUUAAUAUAAAUAAAACUUUAAUAUUGU